rnacentral:rRNA from 1 species
UGGGGAAUAUUGCACAAUGGAGGAAACUCUGAUGCAGCGACGCCGCGUGAACGAAGAAGGCUUUCGAGUCGUAAAGUUCUUUUAUAUGGGAAGAUAAUGACGGUACCAUAAGAAAAAGCCCCGGCUAACUACGUGCCAGCAGCCGCGGUAAUACGUAGGGGGCUAGCGUUGUCCGGAAUCACUGGGCGUAAAGGGUUCGCAGGCGGAAAUGCAAGUCAGGUGUAAAAGGCAGUAGCUUAACUACUGUAAGCAUUUGAAACUGCAUAUCUUGAGAAGAGUAGAGGUAAGUGGAAUUUUUAGUGUAGCGGUGAAAUGCGUAGAUAUUAAAAAGAAUACCGGUGGCGAAGGCGACUUACUGGGCUCAUUCUGACGCUGAGGAACGAAAGCGUGGGUAGCAAACAGG